GAUGAACGCUAGCUACAGGCUUAACACAUGCAAGUCGAACGAAGCGCUUAAACGGAUUUCUUCGGAAUGAAGUUUUUGCGACUGAGUGGCGGACGGGUGAGUAACGCGUGGGUAACCUGCCUCAUACAGGGGGAUAACAGUUAGAAAUGACUGCUAAUACCGCAUAAGCGCACAGUGCUGCAUGGCACAGUGUGAAAAACUCCGGUGGUAUGAGAUGGACCCGCGUCUGAUUAGCUAGUUGGUGGGGUAACGGCCUACCAAGGCGACGAUCAGUAGCCGGCCUGAGAGGGUGAACGGCCACAUUGGGACUGAGACACGGCCCAA
rnacentral:rRNA from 1 species